GCCAGGCUCAUUCAGAGGUGGAAUCGCUUCAUUCUCACUCAACUGCAUCAAGAUAUGCAGGAGCUGGAAAUACCACAGGCUUAUCGAGGUGCUGGAGGCAGCAGCUUUUGCUCAUCGGGGGACUCUGUUAUUGGGCAGCUCUUCAGCUGUGAGAUGGAGAACUGCAGCCUCUGCCGCUGUGGCAGUGAGACCGUGCGAGCCUCAUCCACCCUGCUUUUCACACUCUCCUACCCUGAUGGUAGCAAAAGUGGUGUACCCUUCAGCUCAGUUGGGAAGGCUCCCCAAAAUGUCCUGUAAUAUCAGGGAGAGGGUGUUGGGGACUAACUGUGGGUAGAGGGGAGAACCAGGAGUAUAGCAUCUAAUUUUCCCUCAGAUAAAACUGGGAAGAACUAUGACUUUGCUCAGGUGCUGAAGCGAAGCAUCUGCCUGGACCAGAAUACACAGGCCUGGUGUGACACCUGUGAAAAGU
rnacentral:sRNA from 1 species